GCGCUAGGCGUAGUCACUAGAGGUGUGUCUCCUGCUCAGAUCAGGGCUACAGUUCUCACCAUUCACCUAAUAAGAAAGUUACUGCUCAAGGUGAAAUUGCGCAGGAUAAUACAAACAGACAGGUUAAGAGCGGCAACAUGCCGCAGCGAGUGUGAGACGCCAGUGCCCACAAAGUUCCUUACGGAACUUCGACAGACUAAUUCCUCUGACUUGUGCUCCAUAUCGUAAGUACACUCCCCCUUCAGUGACAUGGGACACAGGAUCCAGUGUUUCCUUGUAAAUAUUUUCAACAUCCCUGUUGUCCUAUAAGUACACCGAAACCUACACAUCUGGAGGAAAUGCUCCACAAGAAUGUACACAAAAAAGAUGCAAAAAAAUAAGUAUAAACACAAACAAGGGGAAAAAUCUUUGACACAUGUCCCCCCAUGUGAACUGUAUUGGGCAACAUUCGGAAAAAAAAAACAUUCAAAUAUGCUUAAAAUGCACAUCAAAAAACAAGGAAAAUCAAGAAUGUCUUAAAAAUUCACAUGUAUUUUUUCAGCCUACUUUUUAUGCCAUGUGAAUGUACUUUAUAUGAGUUUACUU